rnacentral:rRNA from 1 species
AGCAGCCGCGGUAAUUCCAGCUCCAAUAGCGUAUAUUAAAGUUGUUGCAGUUAAAAAGCUCGUAGUUGAAUUUCGGGGUCAGUAGGCUGGUCGUGCCACAGGUAUGUACUGGUCUCACUGAUUCCUCCUUCCUGAUGAACCGUAAUGCCAUUAAUUUGGUGUUGCGGGGAAUCUGGACUGUUACUUUGAAAAAUUAGAGUGUUUAAAGCAGGCUAACGCUUGAAUACAUUAGCAUGGAAUAAUGAAAUAGGACGAUCGAUCUUAUUUUGUUGGUUUCUAAGAUUGACGUAAUGAUUAAUAGGGAUAGUUGGGGGCAUUAGUAUUCAAUUGUCAGAGGUGAAAUUCUUGGAUUUAUUGAAGACUAACUACUGCGAAAGCAUUUGCCAAGGAUGUUUUCAUUAAUCAAGAACGAAAGUUAGGGGAUCGAAGACGAUCAGAUACCGUCGUAGUCUUAACCAUAAACUAUGCCGACUAGGGAUCGGAUGAUGUUAAUUUUUAAUGUA